rnacentral:rRNA from 1 species
GACGUAGGGCGCGAGCGUUGUCCGGAUUUAUUGGGCGUAAAGAGCUCGUAGGCGGCUCAUUGCGUCAACCGUGAAAACCUGCCGCUCAACGGUAGGCUUGCGGUUGAUACGGGUGGGCUGGAGUUCGGUAGGGGAGACUGGAAUUCCUGGUGUAGCGGUGAAAUGCGCAGAUAUCAGGAGGAACACCGGUGGCGAAGGCGGGUCUCUGGGUCGAUACUGACGCUGAGGAGCGAAAGCGUGGGGAGCGAACAGG